UACAGAGGUGGCAAGCGUUGUUCGGAAUUACUGGGCGUAAAGGGCGCGUAGGCGGUCCUGUAAGUCCUGCGUGAAAUCCCCCCGGCUCAACCGGGGGAACUGCGCGGGAGACUGCGGGGCUUGAGUUCGGGAGAGGGAAGCGGAAUUCCAGGUGUAGCGGUGAAAUGCGUAGAUAUCUGGAGGAACAUCGGUGGCGAAGGCGGCAUCCUGGACCGGUAUUGACGCUGAGGCGCGAAAGCCAGGGGAGCAAAGCAGG
rnacentral:rRNA from 1 species